GCCUCUGUGGUGGGCAGUGGAGUGUUUCCCAUGUGGUAUUGGUGUGCUGGAUAUCCCUUCACUGGUAGCCUGGUAACAUACACUCCCAGGUCUUUCUCUGCCUCUGUGGUGGAUAGUGGAGUGUCUCCCAUGUGGUAUUGGUGUGCUGGAUAUCCCUUCACUGGUAGCCUGGUAACAUACACUCCCAGGUCUUUCUCUGCCUCUGUGGUGGAUAGUGGAGUGUUUCCCAUGUGGUAUUGGUAUGCUGGAUAUCCCUUCACUGGUAGCCUGGUAACAUACACUCCCGGGUCUUUCUCUGCCUCUGUGGUGGAUAGUGGAGUGUUUCCCAUGUGGUAUUGGUGUGCUGGAUAUCCCUUCACUGGUAGCCUGGUAACAUACACUCCCAGGUCUUUCUCUGCCUCUGUGGUGGAUAGUGGAGUGUUUCCCAUGUGGUAUUGGUGUGCUGGAUAUCCCUUCACUGGUAGCCUGGUAACAUACACUCCCAGGUCUUUCUCUGCCUCUGUGGUGGAUAGUGGAGUGUUUCCCAUGUGGUAUUGGUGUGCUGGAUAUCCCUUCACUGGUAGCCUGGUAACAUACGCUCCCAGGUGUUUCUCUGCCUCUGUGGUGGAUAGUG